AACAUAUUCCUAUAUAUACAGUAUAUUAAAGGACAAAACAUUAGAAACUCUAAGAUAAUAAAAAUAUUAAAACAUUAGAAGUUAUAAGAAAUUUGAAGCGUUCUUAAUUAGUGAAAGAAACGCAGCUAGUUAUUUCUGCCCCUGAAGGACAUUUCAUCAAUCAAAGUACAUGCAUAUUCCUUUGAAAAAUGGAUUCAUGUUACCGAAGCAACUCUUUGUUUCUUCAACUGAAAUGCUUACUUUUCAAUCCUUUUCCAUUAGUGUUUUGGAGCCUCCAGAAUUGUAGCUAAAGUAGAAUGAUAAGCCUUCCAAUGAACAAUUGUUCAGAAUAAUUACUCUAGCCUAGUAACCAAGAAAACUAUCAAGAGACGAAGCACCCUUCCAUUCUAAUUAUACAAUAAUCAUAAUUAAGAAUAGAAACAAGAUUCAAAUUCUUAUCUAUCAUAUCCAAGGCUAUCAAAUCGAGAUUAAUUGUGAUUGCAAAGCUGAUUUUAGAACUGUAAGUUAUAAUUUGUAUAAAAUUUCAAUAUUUAAAGACAAAAUAUAACUUCAAAUAUACAAUACAUAUGAAAUAAAGUAGCUUGAC
rnacentral:lncRNA from 1 species